CAGUAGCCACGGUAAUACGUAGGGCGCAAGCGUUAUCCGGAAUUAUUGGGCGUAAAGAGCUCGUAGGCGGUUUGUCGCGUCUGCCGUGAAAGUCCGGGGCUCAACCCCGGAUCUGCGGUGGGUACGGGCAGACUAGAGUGAUGUAGGGGAGACUGGAAUUCCUGGUGUAGCGGUGAAAUGCGCAGAUAUCAGGAGGAACACCGAUGGCGAAGGCAGGUCUCUGGGCAUUAACUGACGCUGAGGAGCGAAAGCAUGGGGAGCGAACAGGAUUAGAUACCCCUGUAGUCCCUGUCUCUUAUAC
rnacentral:rRNA from 1 species